rnacentral:rRNA from 1 species
AGGGUUUGAUUAUGGCUCAGGAUGAACGCCGGCGGUGUGCCUAAUACAUGCAAGUCGUACGCACUGGCCCAACUGAUUGAUGGUGCUUGCACCUGAUUGACGAUGGAUCACCAGUGAGUGGCGGACGGGUGAGUAACACGUAGGUAACCUGCCCCGGAGCGGGGGAUAACAUUUGGAAACAGAUGCUAAUACCGCAUAACAACAAAAGCCGCAUGGUUUUUGUUUGAAAGAUGGCUUUGGCUAUCACUCUGGGAUGGACCUGCGGUGCAUUAGCUAGUUGGUAAGGUAACGGCUUACCAAGGCGAUGAUGCAUAGCCGAGUUGAGAGACUGAUCGGCCACAAUGGAACUGAGACACGGUCCAU